UACGGAGGGUGCAAGCGUCGUCCGGAUUUAUUGGGUUUAAAGGGUGCGUAGGUGGCUUUGUAAGUCAGUGGUGAAAUGCCGCAGCUCAACUGCGGAACUGCCAUUGAUACUGCUUAGCUUGAAUCACGUCGAGGUGGAUGGAAUAUUACAUGUAGCGGUGAAAUGCUUAGAUAUGUAAUAGAACACCGAUUGCGAAGGCAGUUCACUAGGCGUGUAUUGACACUGAGGCACGAAAGCGUGGGGAUCAAACAGG
rnacentral:rRNA from 1 species